UGAUGAAGAUCGGUAUAAGAAUAAAAAAGCAAAACUGGCGGUUGAUAUGGAUUUGGGUAUUCAUCGAAUAUCAAACAAGAAUUGGUUCUACUCUCUGUCUUAUGAUAAACAACUGUUAAAUGAUGAGCAUAUUGAUGUGAUCAUGUAUUACUUGCGUAAAAAAAGUAAAUACAACAUCAAUAGUCUCUACAGAUACACUAUUGUUGAUUGUAUAUUCAAGUCAAAAUUUCUGAAAUUUAUGUUGCAUAUGCUCAAGUUGGAAGUAACUUUUGUGUUGCAAAUGUUGAAAGCGCCAUACGUGAUUACAUAAAAGGAUAUAGGUUGAUGGCUGCCAUUCCAUGGAAUACAAUCGACAAUGUGUUCAUACCAGUGAACGUGGAGCAUAAAAAUCACUAGGUGUUGGUUGUUUUGUCAUUAAUUGACAAACACAUUUAUGUAUAUGACUCAUACAGAGCAGCAGGUCAUAACUAUCAUGUUACAGAAGAAAUUCAAAAGCUUGGUCAACUUCUGUCAAUGUAUGUUUCAAUGGAGAUUGGAAAUGAUUCGGAUGAUACAGAAGAUAACCACUUUGCAUACGACGUGACGUGUGUGGAGGAUAUACCUCAACAAGGAUCAGAUUUUUUGGAUUGCGGGAUAUAUUUGCUAGCAUUUGCCGAGUACCUAAGUGAGGGUGAAGGUAUUCCAGUUAAGUAUCUUGAUUCUAAGUUACACCGCAUCAGAUACGGUGCACUCUUGUAGGAAUAUGCAAUGAAAAAUAUGAAAGACGGGGCUGUUAGCGAUAAUGAGGCACCACCAAGAAGAAUGAGGACACCCACAAGGAUCGAUAAUAGUCAACUUGUUGUGAUUGAUUAGUAUUUUGUACUAGUUCUAUUUUUUUUGAACUUAUGGUAAAAAC